rnacentral:hammerhead_ribozyme from 1 species
AGCCGAAACGCGCAGUGAUGCGCGUCGUGUUGGGUGUGGUGCCCAAUGCCUGACGACUGGUAGCCGUCA